UACGUAGGGGGCAAGCGUUAUCCGGAUUUACUGGGCGUAAAGCGCGUUAAGGCGGCUCGUCAAGUUGGUGGUGAAAUCUCGGAGCUCAACUCCGGAACUGCCUCCAAUACUGGCGGGCUCGAGUGUGGGAGAGGAAGGUGGAAUUCCCGGUGUAGUAGUGAAAUGCGUAGAUAUCGGGAGGAACACCAGUGGCGAAGGCGGCCUUCUGGCCCACAACUGACGCUGUAGCGCGAAAGCGUGGGGAGCGAACGGG
rnacentral:rRNA from 1 species